GCGGUGGCUCCACGCGGUGACGUCAGGAGCAGCUGGAGUCGGGGAUUACCCCCUGCUGCUGACGUGAGGACGGUGAACAAUCGGGAACGUUCGGUGGAAGGGGGAAUUCCCCGCCGCUCUGUGAGGCGCCCCUCCUCCCGCACUCCCCCGCCCUGGGCUGCUUCGGAGUCCGGGCUGUUGGGGCCGCCGGGAGGGCGAGAGAGGAGUGCUGCGCCCGGAGGCGGCCGCGCAGGCUCGAGUGGCGCGCGGCGCGGCGUCUUCUCCAGUUCUAAGCUCCCGAAGCCGCGCCGCAGCUUCUCCGAGCUUCAAGCUGCGGAAGACGCCGCGGCGCGCGCCUUUCGCCGGGUACCCCGCUCGGGCUUCGCGCUCGGGCCUGGGUGAAGCGGCGCUCACACCGCGCCUAUGCCCAGCCCUGCGCAGGCGGAACGUCUGCCGAGCCGGCGCCGGAGCGAUAGGGUGGACUGAGGGGAUGCUCCACCGUGGCGUGCGAACGCGGACUGUGUCGGGCGUGAGAGGAGCACACGGGAGCCCUACGGCGGAGGAAAGCAGACGUGCUGGGAGCCAAGCCCAGACUCUCGGAGGAUAAGGAAACAGGUUGAGAUUGACGUGUUUAACAGUACGGAAUAUGGAAGUUGGGCACCACGACUUGGCUGUACCACAUUUAAACAAGUCUAUUAGGGGCUUGAUCCACUUUGUUUUCUCUACACCACGUUGUUUCCGUAUAAGCGACUUAUGUAUUGGGAGAGGACCUGCUCGUGCUUUUAUUUGUAAGCAUGAUAUCAAACCAAGAAAAAGUAAACAAAAAAAGAUAAAACUGAUAACUUGGAAACACAA